rnacentral:lncRNA from 1 species
AAUUACUAAUUUAAUAUAUAUGAUUUAGUUAAGAAAGUGAGAAACUCACGAGUUGGAGUAGCUGAGACCUCAGAGGAGAUGAGGAGAACAGCAAAGACAAGACCAAGAAGAAGAAAAGCCUUUGAGGAUGCCAUGUUUUGCUUAACAACAAGCACGAUAAUAUGUAUAUGAAAGUAUGCAAGAGAUGAUUGAUGAGUGAGUAUAAUGUGGCUUGGUUGUCCCUAUUUAUAGACCUUUAUGCGAUAUCAGUGGGGUUGGAAAGAUAAGGAGAGAGAAGAGAAGAAUUUGUGACUCUUGUGGUGAUUAAAGGCUAAAUAGCGCCAAAUUCAACCCCUACUUUGAUGGUAGGGAUUGAUGGGACUACGUAUUAAGUAAGCUUUUAU